rnacentral:rRNA from 1 species
AAAGAUUAAGCCAUGCAUGUCUCAGUACCCACUAUAAAACAGUGAAACCGCGAACGGCUCAUUACAACAGGUAUAAUUUACUUGAUCUUGAAAGAAUCCUACUUGGAUAACUGUGGUAAUUCUAGAGCUAAUACAUGCCCUAAAGCUCUGACCUCGCGGGAAGAGUGCAUUUAUUAGAUCAAAACCAAGCGGCUUCGGCCGUCUACCACUGACUUAAAGUAACUAAGCUGAUCGUAUGGUCUUGUACCGACGACGUAUCUUUCAAGUAUCUGCCUUAUCAACUUUCGAUGGUAGUGUAGUGGACUACCAUGGUUGUGACGGGUAACGGAGGAUAAGGGUUCGACUCCGGAGAGGGAGCUUGAGACACGGCUACCAUGUCUAAGGACAGCAGCAGGCGCGCAAAUUACCCACUCUCAGAACCAGGAGGUAGUGACGAAAAAUAACGAGACCGUUCUCUAUGAGGCCGGUCAUCGGAAUGGGUACAAUCUAAACCCUUUAACGAGUAUCUAUGAGAGGGCAAGUCUGGUGCCAGCAGCCGCGGUAAUUCCAGCUCUCAAAAUGCAUAGAAUUAUUGCUGCGGUUAAAAAGCUCGUAGUUGGAUCUGUGCUGGGAACUGGGUCCGCCUUCGGGUGUGCACUCAGCUUCCCGGCUUUUUGCUGGUUUUCCCGUUGUGGUCUUUACCGGUUGCAGCGGGUGGCUGGCGAGUUUACCUUGAAGAAAUCAAAGUGCUUAAUACAGGCGAUUUGCUUGAAUGUGGUGCAUGGAAUAAUAGAAAAGGAUUUCGGUUCUCUUUUAUUGGUUUUGCGAGCUGAGAUAAUGGUUAACAGAGACAAACGGGGGCAUUCGUAUCGUUGCGUGGGAGGUGAAAUUCUUGGACCGCAGCGAGACGAACUACAGCGAAAGCAUUUGCCAAGAAUG